UCAUAGUGGAUGGGAGCGUGUCCAUCUUCCUUUUGGAAUUUGGAUGUCGAGCGACCAACAUCGCCCCGAACAGGCUCAGCAAAAAUCAUUAAGGAAAAAGUUCCAAAGUCAAGAAAAGAAUAUUGUCAAAGCGCGAGUGGUAUCCAGCAGCAGCAAAGCAAAAGUCGCGGGACUAGGAAAACUGAAGCUAGGUCGGCCACUGGGGCCAAGAUUGACGGAUUUGGCGCCUAGCAAUUUGGGCUGGCGAAGCAGCGGCGCUCCAAGCAGCUGAUCCGUCGCAGCACAGAGCGAGGGAGCAGAGACGCAGAAAAAUUCUGAGAGGCUCGACCUUCGCGGGCAGCCGGAUCGACGUCG